rnacentral:rRNA from 1 species
AGUGAACGCUGGCGGUAGGCCUAACACAUGCAAGUCGAACGGCAGCACAGUAAGAGCUUGCUCUUACGGGUGGCGAGUGGCGGACGGGUGAGGAAUACAUCGGAAUCUACUUUUUCGUGGGGGAUAACGUAGGGAAGCUUACGCUAAUACCGCAUACGACCUACGGGUGAAAGCAGGGGAUCUUCGGACCUUGCGCGAUUGAAUGAGCCGAUGUCGGAUUAGCUAGUUGGCGGGGUAAAGGCCCACCAAGGCGACGAUCCGUAGCUGGUCUGAGAGGAUCAUCAGCCACACUGGAACUGAGACACGGUCCAGACUCCUACGGGAGGCAGCAGUGGGGAAUAUUGGACAAUGGGCGCAAGCCUGAUCCAGCCAUACCGCGUGGGUGAAGAAGGCCUUCGGGUUGUAAAGCCCUUUUGUUGGGAAAGAAAAGCAGCAGGUUAAUACCCCGCUGUUCUGACGGUACCCAAAGAAUAAGCACCGGCUAACUUCGUG